rnacentral:rRNA from 1 species
UACGUAGGUGGCAAGCGUUGUCCGGAUUUACUGGGCGUAAAGAGCGCGCAGGCGGUCGGCCAAGUCGAGUGUGAAAGCCCCCGGCUCAACUGGGGAGGGUCAUUCGAUACUGGUCGACUCGAAGGCAGAAGAGGGAAGCGGAAUUCCCGGUGUAGUGGUGAAAUGCGUAGAUAUCGGGAGGAACACCAGUGGCGAAGGCGGCUUCCUGGCCUGUUCUUGACGCUGAGGCGCGAAAAGCUAGGGGAGCAAACGGGG